rnacentral:lncRNA from 1 species
AACCAUGACCCUUUCCGCCAAGUCGGUAUAAAAAAAUUGAAUUUUUGCAAACUACAAAGACUAUAACACUGAUAAUUACAUUACUUUUAUUUAAUAGUUACUAUACUUUGAUAAAAAAUUCAUUUGACACUGAUACUGUUCACAAAAAUCUUGAAAAUUCAUUAAAACUAGCUACUCUUUCUUUUCUAGCGUUCAUAACUUACGCAUUCUAUGGACGGACACCGACGUUGUGUAGGUGGUCACAUCUCUGUGUGUAGUCACAUCAAUAUGAUAACUAUGUCAUUACCUUGUGUGUACUGGAAUGUUCCAUUCCAUAUUUUGGUAGAGCACAUUGUAUUGCUAACAACGGAUUUAUUACGUAUUUUUACGUUCAUAACAACUGGACACCUCGAAAACCUGAUUGACAAUUUGGUCAAUGAUAAUUGUUC